rnacentral:rRNA from 1 species
UAGGGAAUAUUGGGCAAUGGACGAAAGUCUGACCCAGCCACGCCGCGUGCAGGAAGACGGCCCUCUGGGUUGUAAACUGCUUUUGACUGGGAAGAAAGAAGCCCAUGCGUGGGAAGUUGACGGUACCAGUCGAAUAAGCCACGGCUAACUACGUG